CAACGAGUCGCAAGCUCGCGAGAGUAAGCUAAUCUCUUAAAGCCGUUCUCAGUUCGGAUUGUAGGCUGCAACUCGCCUACAUGAAGUCGGAAUCGCUAGUAAUCGCGGAUCAGCAUGCCGCGGUGAAUACGUUCCCGGGCCUUGUACACACCGCCCGUCACACCAUGAGAGUUUGUAACACCCAAAGCCGGUGGGGUAACCUUUUGGAGCCAGCCGUCUAAGGUGGGACAGAUGAUUGGGGUGAAGUCGUAACAAGGUAGC
rnacentral:rRNA from 1 species